rnacentral:ribozyme from 1 species
GUACUUUUUUUUUUUUUUUUUUUUUUUUUUUUUUUUUUUUUUUUUUUUUUUUUUUUCGCACCGCCCACGAUGAAAAACGAGGAGUGGG